GAUGAACGCUGGCGGCGUGCCUAAUACAUGCAAGUCGAGCGAACAGACGAGGAGCUUGCUCCUCUGACGUUAGCGGCGGACGGGUGAGUAACACGUGGAUAACCUACCUAUAAGACUGGGAUAACUUCGGGAAACCGGAGCUAAUACCGGAUAAUAUAUUGAACCGCAUGGUUCAAUAGUGAAAGACGGUUUUGCUGUCACUUAUAGAUGGAUCCGCGCCGCAUUAGCUAGUUGGUAAGGUAACGGCUUACCAAGGCAACGAUGCGUAGCCGACCUGAGAGGGUGAUCGGGCACACUGGAACUGAGACACGGUCCAGACUCCUACGGGAGGCAGCAGUAGGGAAUCUUCCGCAAUGGGCGAAAGCCUGACGGAGCAACGCCGCGUGAGUGAUGAAGGUCUUCGGAUCGUAAAACUCUGUUAUUAGGGAAGAACAAAUGUGUAAGUAACUAUGCACGUCUUGACGGUGCCUAAUCAGAAAGCCACGGCUAACUACGUG
rnacentral:rRNA from 1 species